rnacentral:lncRNA from 1 species
CUUGAGUCAGUCAUCUUACUUGCAAUCAUGUCUUUAUUUUCAAGAUUUUGUGAAAUCUGAGUAAUGUCAUACAUCCAAGGUCUAAUGCUAGAUAUGAUUAUAUGUUUGACUUUUUCUUUCUUGACAUCAGUGCACACAUGCUUGAAUUUAUUGGCAAAACGAUGAUUUUGAAGAGAAUGCGAGUCAUUUGGAAUGGUUUGGAAGACUGGGACCAACACAUGGGUACUUCAAUCCUCAAAGGAGACGUAAUAUGUGAGUGUCAAGACGAAACACAGUAUAUCAAAAACUUUGCCCCGGUUUUGUGUUUAGGAAAAUGAGUUGGGGUUUGGAUCCAUGAACAUUAGGGUGAGAAAAUCAAGUGAGACUCGCAAAGUUGCCCCGGUCUUGGGAUUAUGGAUUGAUGAAAAGUUAGUGUUAGACUCACACGGCUAUCCCAAACUUUAUUGUGUAUGGGUUGAUGAAAAAAACUCGUGUGAGGUUCACGAAGUUGCCCUAGUUUUUUUUUUUGAAAGGGGUUCUAUUUGGAAGAGGUAGUGGACAUGUACAAGAUCGGCUAAAAGGGUGGCCCCAAUUGUUCUUUUUUUUUGCACGCUUCUGAUUAAAUGGCAGGGUGACCUCCUCUUCCCGAGACAUUAUUUUUCUUCUUCUUCUUUUUUCAACUCUUUUUUCGACACAUUGAAAGUCAUUUCUCCUUAUCGCAAAAUUAAGCUUUAUGAAAAUUUGAGCAAUCAUUAUUCAAUCUGCGUGGACUUUAUUUAGCUUGUAACGUGGCUA